rnacentral:rRNA from 1 species
ACAACCAUGGUUCCUUUGAUCACGAGAAAACCAACAGCUUCAUAUUUGCGACUUUGUCGUGAAAGUUGGGAGUAUCAACCCCGUUAGAGCUCUAUAUGUGAGGUGUCUAUGUAUGACAUGAGUCGUUCGUGAGUGGCGACUGUGAUUGUUUGUGCAAAGUUCCCAUUCCAAUGGUGAUGGUUGAGCUUGAGACUUAAUGAGUAUUGCUAUAAUUCCGCCUCAUAGUUUUAUAAUGGUGGUUAUGUACAUACGGUGUAUGUACGGUACCUGGCUGUCAGGAAACCUUAAUGAUCUCGACGAGACGCCAUUAUAAAACACAACCUUCUAUAUUUAAAGUUUGCAGAAACGUGUACACAUAUUUGUGUCACAAUUAUCGAUUAGCUUCAGCGAUGGAUCGGUCGAUUCGCGUAUCGAUGAAAAACGCAGCUAGCUGCGUUAUUUACCACGAAUUGCAGACGCUUAGAGUGGUGAAAUUUUGAACGCAUAGCGCCGUUGGGUUUUCCCUUCGGCACGUCUGGUUCAGGGUUGUUAAUGAAACUACUACAGUGUGGCUAACACAUAACACUGUUUGUCGAAUGGUAUUUAUCACUUCAWUGUGAUAACUCCCAUUUCAGUUCAUGAAUGACACAUGCAACAURACGUUAACGAURUUAACGUUCCUGAAUGAUAUGAAUGUAUUACCACUAUUUGAAUGUACUCAAUGAAUAUGAGAUUGAUUUGAAUAGAGACAUGUAUGGUACUGUAUGUUCAAUAUAUCAUUUGUAUUGCAACCUGAGCUCAGGCGUGAUUACCCGCUGAACUUUAAGCCAUAUAA